GUCGGACCAGGCUUCAUUCCCCC
rnacentral:miRNA from 2 species